UCCGUAGGGGAACCUGCGGAGGGAUCAUUACACAAAUAUGAAGGCGGGCUGGAACCUCUCGGGGUUACAGCCUUGCUGAAUUAUUCACCCUUGUCUUUUGCGUACUUCUUGUUUCCUUGGUGGGUUCGCCCACCACUAGGACAAACAUAAACCUUUUGUAAUUGCAAUCAGCGUCAGUAACAAAUUAAUAAUUACAACUUUCAACAACGGAUCUCUUGGUUCUGGCAUCGAUGAAGAACGCAGCGAAAUGGGAUAAGUAGUGUGAAUUGCAGAAUUCAGUGAAUCAUCGAAUCUUUGAACGCACAUUGCGCCCUUUGGUAUUCCAAAGGGCAUGCCUGUUCGAGCGUCAUUUGUACCCUCAAGCUUUGCUUGGUGUUGGGCGUCUUGUCGUCUAGCUUUGCUGGAGACUCGCCUUAAAGUAAUUGGCAGCCGGCCUACUGGUUUCGGAGCGCAGCACAAGUCGCACUCUCUAUCAGCAAAGGUCUAGCAUCCAUUAAGCCUUUUUUUCAACUUUUGACCUCGGAUCAGGUAGGGAUACCCGCUGAACUUAUGCAUAUCA
rnacentral:rRNA from 1 species